AGGUGGCCGAGUGGCUUAAGGCGCUCGCCUGGAACGCGGGUAUAGGGGAAACUCUAUCGUGGGUUCGAAUCCCACCCUCACCGCCA
rnacentral:tRNA from 1 species